rnacentral:tRNA from 1 species
CGCGCGAAAAAUAAUGUUUGGGGCGAACAAGAAACAGGCUCAUAACCUGAACGUCGUAGGUUCAAAUCCUACUCCCGCAACCA